rnacentral:rRNA from 1 species
GACGAACGCUGGCGGCGUGCUUAACACAUGCAAGUCGAACGGAAAGGCCCUGCUUUUGUUGGGUGCUCGAGUGGCGCACGGGUGAGUAACACGUGAGUAACCUGCCCUUUACUUUGGGGUACCUUCAGGAAACUGUUGCUAAUACCUGCUAGGAGCUCCUGCUGCAUGGUGGGGGUUGGACCGUUUCGGCGGUUGGGGAUGGACUCGCGGCUUAUGAGCUUGUUGGUGGGGUAGUGGCUUACCAAGGCUUUGACGGGUAGCCGGCAUGGGAGGGUGACCGGCGACAAGGGGACUGAGAGACGGACCAGACGCCUACGGGAGGCAGCAGUGGGGAAUAUGGAACAAUGGGCGGAAGCCUGAUGCAGCAACGCCGCGUGCGGGAUGAGGGCCUUCGGGUGGUAAACCGCUUUCGCCUGUGACGAAGCGUGAGUGACGGUAAUGGGUAAAGAAGCACCGGCUAACUACGUG